rnacentral:lncRNA from 1 species
UGUUGAUGUGAGGCCAAAAAAUAUAUAUUUUAAUCAUUAUUCGCCUCACAUUUAUUAUUUAUAUUUGUCCCUUUUGAGCAUUAAUUUUAUGAAUUGUGCUUAAUAGUGUAUUUUAUUUGUAGGAUUAAAUUGGUGGAAAGUUCAAGAAGUUUGAAGCUAAAACGAAUUAAAGAUGGAAGGUUGAAGAAGGAAAUCAAGCAGAUAGCUUAAUGAAUUAAAUUUUAUAAAAUAAUAUAUAUUUUAGUGGAAGUAGAAUUGGAAUUGGAAUUGAAAAUUCCACGUGGCAUCAUAUGAAGAACGAAGAUGGGCAGGAAACUCGGCAGAG